AGUUUGCUCCUGGCUCAGGAUGAACGCUGGCGGCGUGCCUAAUACAUGCAAGUCGAGCGAACAGAUAAGGAGCUUGCUCCUUUGACGUUAGCGGCGGACGGGUGAGUAACACGUGGGUAACCUACCUAUAAGACUGGAAUAACUCCGGGAAACCGGGCUAAUGCCGGAUAACAUUUAGAACCGCAUGGUUCUAAAGUGAAAGAUGGUUUUGCUAUCACUUAUAGAUGGACCCGCGCCGUAUUAGCUAGUUGGUAAGGUAACGGCUUACCAAGGCAACGAUACGUAGCCGACCUGAGAGGGUGAUCGGCCACACUGGAACUGAGACACGGUCCAGACUCUACGGGAGGCAGCAGUAGGGAAUCUUCCGCAAUGGGCGAAAGCUGACGGAGCAACGCCGCGUGAGUGAUGAAGGUCUUCGGAUCGUAAAACUCUGUUAUUAGGGAAGAACAAAUGUGUAAGUAACUAUGCACGUCUUGACGGUACCUAAUCAGAAAGCCACGGCUAACUACGUGCCAGCAGCCGCGGUAAUACGUAGGUGGCAAGCGUUAUCCGGAAUUAUUGGGCGUAAAGCGCGCGUAGGCGGUUUCUUAAGUCUGAUGUGAAAGCCCGGCUCAACCGUGGAGGGUCAUUGGAAACUGGGAAACUUGAGUGCAGAAGAGGAAAGUGGAAUUCCAUGUGUAGCGGUGAAAUGCGCAGAGAUAUGGAGGAACACCAGUGGCGAAGGCGACUUUCUGGUCUGUAACUGACGCUGAUGUGCGAAAGCGUGGGGAUCAAACAGGAUUAGAUACCCUGGUAGUCCACGCCGUAAACGAUGAGUGCUAAGUGUUAGGGGGUUUCCGCCCCUUAGUGCUGCACGUAACGCAUUAAGCACUCCGCCUGGGGUGUACGGUCGCAAGUUCAAGCGGAGGAGCAUGUGGCUUAAUUCNACGCAACGCGAAGAACCUUACCAAGGCUUGACAUACACCGGAAAGCNGUAGAGAUACGGCCCCCCUAGUGGUCGGUGUACAGGUGGUGCAUGGCUGUCGUCAGCUCGUGUCGUGAGAUGUUGGGUUAAGUCCCGCAACGAGCGCAACCCUUAAACUUAGUUGCCAGCAUUUAGUUGGGCACUCUAAGUUGACUGCCGGUGACAAACCGGAGGAAGGUGGGGAUGACGUCAAAUCAUCAUGCCCCUUAUGAUUUGGGCUACACACGUGCUACAAUGGACAAUACAAAGGGCAGCUAAACCGCGAGGUCAUGCAAAUCCCAUAAAGUUGUUCUCAGUUCGNAUUGUAGUCUGCAACUCGACUACAUGAAGCUGNNAUCGCUAGUAAUNGUAA
rnacentral:rRNA from 1 species